CCUACGGGAGGCAGCAGUGAGGAAUAUUGGUCAAUGGGCGCGAGCCUGAACCAGCCAAGUCGCGUGAGGGAAGACGGCCCUACGGGUGGUAAACCUCUUUUGCCGGGGAGCAACGGGCGCCACGUGUGGCGCCACUGAGAGUAACCGGAGAGAAAGCAGCGGCUAACUCCGGGCCAGCAGGCGCGGUAAUACGGUGGAAGCGAGCGUAAGCCGGAUUUAUGGGGUUUAAAGGGUGCGUAGGCGGAGCGUUAAGUCAGUGGACAAAUUGAGGGCCACAACCCCUUCCCGCCAUUGAAACUGGCGCUCCUGGGUGGAUGAGAAGUAUGCGGAAUGCGUGGUGUGGCGGUGAAGUG
rnacentral:rRNA from 1 species